CCUCCCACCCGUGACUAUUGUACCUUGUUGCUUCGGCGGGCCCGCCAGCGUUGCUGGCCGCCGGGGGGCGACUCGCCCCCGGGCCCGUGCCCGCCGGAGACCCCAACAUGAACCCUGUUCUGAAAGCUUGCAGUCUGAGUGUGAUUCUUUGCAAUCAGUUAAAACUUUCAACAAUGGAUCUCUUGGUUCCGGCAUCGAUGAAGAACGCAGCGAAAUGCGAUAACUAAUGUGAAUUGCAGAAUUCAGUGAAUCAUCGAGUCUUUGAACGCACAUUGCGCCCCCUGGUAUUCCGGGGGGCAUGCCUGUCCGAGCGUCAUUGCUGCCCUCAAGCCCGGCUUGUGUGUUGGGCCCUCGUCCCCCGGCUCCCGGGGGACGGGCCCGAAAGGCAGCGGCGGCACCGCGUCCGGUCCUCGAGCGUAUGGGGCUUCGUCUUCCGCUCCGUAGGCCCGGCCGGCGCCCGCCGACGCAUUUAUUUGCAACUUGUUUUUUUCCAGGUUGACCUCGGAUCAGGUAGGGAUACCCGCUGAACUUAAGCAUAUCAAUAAGCGGAGGAA
rnacentral:rRNA from 1 species